GGAAACUCCAACCCCUUGACUUAGAAAACUCCUUUCUUCAUGAGUGUUAUGUACAUGAGGAAAAUGGAGAAAGUUUAACCUUGUUUUACAACAACCAAAAACAUCCGUGAAAGAGUGUAAGAGUUGUCCUCUUUUUGCUAGAGGUGUGGGUGAGGAGCAGAGGUAUAGAGAACAAGAGUAGAGAAGAUUGGCAUCAAAGAACCCAUUGGAACAUUUUCUGCAAUUAGAGAUGGUAAUGCAGAUAAAGCUGGACUGGAAUAGAUCUUCGAGAGAGACGGGAAAUAAAAACUUCUUGGGAUUUUAUAAUAAUUUCUUAUUUAUGUGUGUUUGAUUUCGUUAUUUUAAGGAACAAGUAAGAAUUUGGUUUAUUGUAAUGUAUGAACUUAUGACGUGUGUAUGGUUUGUUUAUGUGAUGAGUUG
rnacentral:sRNA from 1 species